UGAAGAGUGCAUAAUGCUCUCGGAAUUGAUCGGGUUUACUUUUAUUUAUUGAUAUUUUCCAGUUAUUUUCAGUCUAUCGAGCCUUUACACCAAAUCGUUUGACAGAGUGAUUCGUCAUCUUGUUCAAACGCCUCUUUGGCUCAACGUGACCUCGUCGCUGCCAACGCUGCUACGAGCAACUCGCGCUGUGACGGAAAACAGCUAAAUAUGCUCGAGUGAUUCCGCUGUUCGGGUUAAUGUGAGCCGAGAGCUUCCAAAACAUGGAGCAUCUCAGGACGUUAAGACACUCGAGUGUGGUCAGGUACAUGCACGCAAGGUUCCGCUGCACCUCCAUAGAUGGAGCGCGCUUGAGGGACCGCCGGGAAAGUGUCAGAACUCGGGUGUUAUCUGGCCCGAGUUUCCAGGAUUUCAUCCAAGGAGCCGCUGCUAAGAAAAGCCAUGUUCCUCAAGGUGAAGACAAACAUCCGUAUCUGUCCGAGGACGUGCUGGCGGGUCGUUCACGUAAAGUGUAUUUUGAGACCUACGGGUGCCAAAUGAACGUGAAUGACACGGAGAUAGCCUGGUCCAUCCUGCAGAAGAAGGGAUACCAACGCACGGUGGACGUGCAGCAGGCGGAUGUGGUUCUCCUUGUGACCUGCUCCAUCAGAGAAAAAGCAGAGCAAACCAUUUGGAACAGACUCCAGCAACUGACAGCAAUGAAGAAGAAGCGACUCAAGUCGCAGACACCAAUGAAAAUCGGUAUUUUAGGUUGCAUGGCGGAGAGGCUGAAGACGAAGCUGUUGGAAAAGGAGAAGCUUGUCGACGUUCUGGCUGGCCCCGAUGCCUACCGUGACCUUCCUCGCCUGCUGACCGUGGCUGACCAGGGGCGGCAGGCCAGUAACGUGCUGCUGUCGUUGGAGGAGACGUACGCCGACAUCAUGCCUGUGCAUCACACUCCUCAUGGAUUCAGUGCCUUUGUAUCCAUCAUGCGUGGCUGCGACAACAUGUGUAGCUACUGCAUCGUUCCUUUCACCCGUGGACGAGAGAGAAGUCGACCUGUCAGCUCCAUCCUGGAGGAAGUUCGGAAGCUCUCCGAUCAGGGAGUGAAGGAGGUGACGUUGCUGGGUCAGAACGUGAACAGCUAUAGAGACACAUCAGAAGAACAGUUCUGCGGUUCAGAUCCGACCAAGAUGAGUCGAGGCUUUAAGACCGUGUACCGCAGCAAACAGGGAGGACUGCGCUUCUCGGACCUCCUGGACUCUGUGUCACUUAUCGACCCAGAUAUGAGGAUCAGAUUUACUUCUCCUCAUCCCAAAGACUUUCCUGAUGAGGUUUUACAGUUAAUCGCGGAACGUCGGAACAUCUGCAGUCAGAUCCACCUUCCUGCUCAAAGUGGGAGCACCCAGGUCCUGACUGCUAUGCGGCGGGGAUACUCCAGAGAGGCCUAUCUGGACCUGGUGCACAACAUCAGAAGGAUCAUCCCAGAUGUGAGCCUCAGCAGUGACUUCAUCUCUGGGUUCUGUGGUGAGACAGAGCAGGACCACCAGCAGACUCUGUCUCUCAUCAGAGAAGUGGGAUACAAUAUCGGAUUCCUCUUUGCCUACAGCAUGAGAGCGAAAACUCAUGCGUCCCAUCGUCUGCAAGAUGACGUGCCUGCAGAGGUGAAGCGGCGUCGGUUGGAGGAGUGUAUCAGCUUGUUCAGAGAGGAGGCAGCGAAGGUCAAUGCUGCGCUGAUCGGCAGCACACAGCUCAUCCUGGUGGAGGGAGAAAGUAAAAGGUCCAGCAAGGACUUGUGUGGGCGGACCGACGGAAAUAUGAAGGUGAUUUUCCCGAAAGAGGAUGGAGAGAGUGUCGGCGCCGGGGACUAUGCUCUGGUGAAGAUAGUUUCAGCCAACUCCCAAAGUUUAAGAGGAGAAGUGGUCUGUCGCAGCUCUCUGGGGAGACCCGUCGCUCAUCAGGUGACUCCACUCACGCUCUCGUCUUCGUGAUGGCAACACUGGAGGGGUUGUUGAACUGUGUUUUUAUUAAGGAACAUUCGCUCUGGACCUCUGUGCUUCUUUGCGGGAAAACAAAGAAAACCGCCGACUCAUCGCCUCAUCGAGAACACGCAGAACAUGAUUUCAACAUAGUUGCUGAAGAUCAUCUGGCAAACAUCCCCGUGGAUCCUUGAUGUGGACCUCAGCCAUCAAAGGCGACAUCCGUGCCGAUGAGCACGUAAUCCUGCGCACAUAACAGUCAUGUGUCGGACAAGCUUCACCAGGUGUUUGGUUUGAUAAGGGUGUGUUUUCUCACCUUCAGAACUCUGAGUUGGGUGUUCAAGAGCGCCACCUUCCCCAGUGUGGGAAGUGGGCACACCCACUUCAGUUUUUCUAGAGAGGAGAAUAAACAACUUGAGACUGUCACAGCCUGCUUUUACUGCUGGAGAUGUUUCACUUGAGAUGCGCGGUGAUGCUUCAUGAAACCUGUUUAUAAACUGAGCUGCUGCAGGGACACUGUGUAACACGGUGACCACAUGACCUGCGGUGGUUUGGAUGACACUCUGCAACUGUUGAUGUUGCAGUGUUUAUUUGUUCAGGAACUUGAACUCACCAUUUAUUUUCGGUAUCGCCACCAAACUCAGCAUCUGCUGCAGAGUGCCUGCAAAGGAGUGGACCUGUGAGCAGCAAUGCAAGAGGGGUUCUGUUGGGACUCUUCAGCAGCUCAUUUCAAAUUAACCUCCAUCUUCAGUCAUGAGUGCCACUCACCCGGAUGUUUCCAAUGUAGCUGGUAUUAAGGCUGAAGGUCAUUCUGUGCCAGUGAGGUCAAAUUAGAGGUCGACUUUCAUCAUGUGUCACUUCUGUUUUGUGCCAACUCACUUGUCGAGAAUGAAGUUGGCAACCAGCUUCAUCCCACUGAUGGACAGGUUGACGCUGGCGCUGGCAUUCUGCCGGGACGGUUACAUGGUAGUCAGUGAAAACACACACACACACACACCUUCACACAAAUGUAUAGAUUUACAAACAAAUAACAGUGCAAACACCAGCCUCCUCACUGAAACACCAGCUGUGAGCUUGUGACACGGGUCUCCAACCCACCACAUUCAAGACGAAGAGUGGCGACAGCCCACCGUUGUUCUGGACUGCGUAGGCCGUCAUUGUCACUGUCGUCUUGACCAUCACGUUGUUGUUGUAAAUGAUAUUGGGCCAUUUUUCAUUCUCCACCCGAAGUUGGACAUUGAGGUUUGGGUGGAGUUCGGCAACCUGCAACAGAACUUCCUGUUUAAAUCUCUAAAGGACCAAAUCAGAAGAUUGAGAGAGAAAAAGAUUGUCACCUUUGGGAUGAAAAUUCCCAAACUCUCUGUGGUGAGUGGCAAAGGAAAGUCCUUAGGAAUCUGUGGGGACACAGAACUGUCAUGACAAUGUUUCAGCUUGAAGAGCAGUUGCAGAGGAAGCAAUUGCUAGAGAAACACUUCACGAUGACAGUCUGAUGUAGCGCCUCACAUCAUUUUUGAACUUGGAGCGCCACCUACUGAGCUCUGAAAAUGAUGACACUGCUUUAUGAAGCUUCUUCAGCCCACAACUGCUGGACAAAACGAGAAGAGCGACGAAACAACCUCCAUUAUUGUAUAGCCGUCCCUGCCGGACAGAAUAUGUCGACAUUGAAAACACAGACCGUACAUUGUGUGGCUCACCAUGUCGGCGGUGAUGUUGAUGCUGAGCGCGCCUGCUGUGUUGUACACGAACCCGGCGCUGUUGCCGGUGAAGGGAGAGAUGCCCAUGUACAACAUGUUGUCGCGUUGAGGAGGCAGAGAAAAGGCCGCUGGGGAGAAGGGCGGCUCCUGGCGCUUCCCGAUGUUGUAAAACUGCCCCUAAACAACGAAGACAUGUUCAACAUGGCUAUAUUCUCUCCUAAAUCAAACAGUUCACCUUCAGAUUUAAGGUGAUGGCAGAGCUGGAGAUAGAGGGCGCUGACACCAUGGAGUAAUCGAUCUCCGCAAACUUAUCCACCUUGGCGAUGACUGCGGGAGAUUAAUAAAGAAGUAGUUAAGAGUAUUUUGGCAUAAUGUGUGGAAUCAGAGCAGCAAAGUUGAAUGAUAUACCGUUCAGUUUUUGGAGCUGAGGGUUCAGACCUGACACUGCUGUCCCCAUUGAAGGGCAUAUCUGAAACAUAACACCGUGAAAGUUAUUGCCUGUUGAGAACAAUGUUGUUGCUGUUUGUUGAUUUGAGAAUCAGAGUGCUGAAAAAACAACAACACAAAGGGUGAAUUCCAAUUCCUUCCUCAAUCUUAACCCUCAACCUCAUUCCUCAAAACCAAGAGUUGAAGAAGAUCUUGUUCCUUAGAAAUGGGACACUCCUUAAUGCAGGUUCAGGUACAUGAAUAUGUACAUUGAUAUUACCGUUGAGAAAAAUGACCAUUUUGUAGCGAUAACCAACUUAAAAGAUAGCGAUGUAGCUAGUCCGCACUAGCUGCUUUUUACAAAGCAUCAAAUAAAAAUAAAUAUCAAGCAAUGCAAGAAAGCAAGAAAAUGGCCAUGAACUCAGAUAAUACAAUGGUUUUCAUAAUUUUAUAUCACCAUUGACAAAGAAAAUAUUUACAUUUGUCGCUUGGUCUCUUUGUUUUCAACACCAUCUUUGAUACUACACAAAGGAUUCUGGGUAUUCCUCAAUACAAUUCCUCAGGAUUGAGGAAGCUACGUUCUUAACUUUAACUUCCUAAGAAUUGGGACAGUCCUUGCUCCUCGUGAGAAUGUGCAUUUUUGAGGAUUGAGGUUGUGGAAUAAGGAAAGAAUUGGAACCUCUGGUCCAUAAUUUUUCUGGUCAUUAAAACUUCUGAUGAAUUUUUACUUGAAAAAACGGAAAAAAACAGGGCAGCAGUUCAGUAAGGGACUGAAGUCAUAUGUCUCCAGAUGGUAUCAAGUAAGCAGAAAUAGAUUUAGGACAGCCUAACUUGACGCUUAUCCGUACUCUAUUUUGGAUCUUAUUUAAGAAGAGGCCAGCAACCGGUUCAUACUUAGACUGGUCCCGAGAAACCUUCUUCUGCCAGCAACAUAGUCCCUCCAGUGUCCAAAAUCUGGCACUUACAAACAUUUUUUAAAAUAUUCAAUAUGUAUUUUGUCUUUUCAUUUUCAUUAUCAAUGUGCAAACCUGGUAGCUAACACUACAGAUUUGCUAAAGUGAAAAUAGAUCAUGGUACUUCAUCAGUAUGAGUUUGUUAAAAGAAAAACUGUAAUUGUAUGGUUAACUUUUUGGUCUACUGUUCACGCGUAGGGUAGCUUAGGGUGUUAUGUAACUUUGAGACAUUUUUCCAUAUUUUGGAAUAUCUCACAAUUGAAACCGAAAUGGAACGCAUCUAGGAUGACAGUCCAGUCCAGGAUAUAGUGAAGUUUUUAUGUAUCAAAAUAAACAGUUACAAGCAUUUUCAGGGGGCUUACAAGUAUGCAUGAUUUCGAGCUAUUGGUGCUUGUCUUUGGUCCCAGCAAAUACACAUGGGAGAAUCCACUGCGUUUCAAGGAGGAAGUUGAUACAAGCAUAAAGGAGUGUUAUGUUAUGUUAAGUGUUUGGCGAACAACAUGAAGCUCUUUGGUGUGUCCGACAUCUUACCCUUGCCUCCAGUGCUCUGCGUAUAGCAUGUUCGACAAACUUAUGAAAAAGAUUGUAGAGCCAGCUGUAACAAAGGCAAACAACAUGAGUGUGUCUUUCCGUUCUCGACCUCAUCCUGACCCUCUCACCUGGCUCCACCGUAAAAUUUGAUGCCCACGCGGCCCACACUGGCUGCACAGUUGACACUGUUGACCACGGGGCGGCCCGUGUCAUCACUUGUUAUCGCGACAUUAGUCUGGAUGUUCAGAGCGUAGAUGCUCAAAGUAAAGGAGCCGCUGGCUUUGCUGUAGAUAUAAGGCAUCUUUAACUUAACUGCUAGUUUUGGGAAGGUCACGAGGUGUGUGUUUACUCACAUGACUCGCAGGUACCGGACCCACCAGUUGCCCACCAUGCUGACAAAGGCACCAGGGAUGUUCAGUCUGACUCCAACGUUUGGCACCAGGGUCACCAGUGACUGUGGUAAUGCCACAUUCACGAUCUGCAUGCUGGAAAUAGGGCACUUCGUUUUAUCGCUCACGAAACACUGGUGGCCAGAAACAUUGGUUUCCUUUCAUUUAGUCUGAAAAAUACAAGCAACGUCUUUCUUUCUUUUUUUUUUUUUAACUUUAUUUAUUUAUUUUUGUUUGUUUUUUCUUUGUCCAUGUUAAUGUUGUUGGUUUGCAUUGCAGCAACACACAAUAAAUAAAUAAAUUAAAGAUGCAGUGUCCAAUUACAUUUUUUUGAAACACAGAAUUUGAAAAUAACUGUUGCCAAAGUUACCUUGAAAAAAUAAAAUAAUCCUGUCUAGUAAUAGGUAGAUGAGGUAUCAUGAAACGGUAUUGCAGGGUUGAAGCAACAGUGUCGUAAUUUUAAGAGGCCACUAGAGGCGCUUUUGCUUUAGAAAUUAUGUGAGGUUUCAGUGAAUCAGCCCAAACAUUUUACAGCAGACAACGCCAUCUGGUGGCCUCAGAAAACCAGAACACUGUCUAAUACUGUGUCACAAAGCCGCAUCUACCCAUCGCUACUACUGACUUCCUCCUUGAGGAAUGAACAGUAGGUCCCCUAGAAACACAUUUUGCUGACAGCAUUCUGUUCUCUUCAGUUAUUAUUUCCAAGGGAUGUGGUACCAAAUGUGGAGGUGAGGUGCCAGUACGUUUGUCUUGGGUCAUGACUGUACAUUUCUGUACCCGACUUUUUCUGGUGUCUUACUUGGACAGGCUGUAUUGGACUUUCCCGACUCGAGAAACCUGUUGUGUCCCAGAUAUAUCUGGAAUGCUGAUUCUCUGAAGCUCCUGCUGGAUCCUUGCCAUCCCAAUUUGUCUGGCUGUAGACGGAGAAAACAAAACAAAACAAUAUUUCGAUAAAGUGGGAGCCACACUCCUUUAGGUGGUAAAUAUUGUCAGAGACGACGCGAUAUCAAAACUGGCAGUUCGUAUUUGAUAUGCAUGGAUUCUUGAGAAGAUAGAUUCAACCAGACAUUACCAUAUUCCAGUCCCUUUUCCGUCAGCUUGACCUGCGCUCCAGGGUUGGUGCUCGAGCUGAUGUGGGUGAGAGCCACCAGAACCAGCCAACAACACAGAAACAUCUUCACUGUAAGCAGUCAAAGACUCAACUGAGUUGGAAAGCCAAACCUGACCUUAUUAUCGUUGUACUUCCUCAGUACUGUAAAGUAAUAAAUAGUGCGUUUGCUCCAAUAAAACUGCUGCAGACCUUUCUUCAAGAAGGUUUUAUACAGUGUGAAACUGGCUUGACCACGUCUUCUUAGUCCUCUAUUGGUCUUUUUGCCACAUGUGUUUCCAUGUUGUGUAUUUUCACAGCCUUUGUAUCGUAGAAUAAGCGGAGAUUUGCAUUUACAAAUCAUGUUUUAUGAGUGUGUAAGACCUUUCCACCACUUCCUACAAUUAAUGAGGUUAAUAACAAAUCUGUGACUCACCAGUGCAGAUUCAAGUUCUACUGUUCAGUGAGUUAUUUGUGCAAUAAAAAAGUAAUCACGCUUUAUUUAGCACAGGUAGGAAUCUUGAAUAGCAUGUGUUAUUCAUAUGUGGGAUUUAGCUUCCAUCGAAUAAAUGUAUCCACAUGUAUUUGGCAAAUGCUUUGUCUGUGUACUGCAGAUAAAUAUCAUAUUCCUGCUUUGACUUGAACGACGAGUUCAAUGAAACCUCACAUCACAUCAUUUCUAAACCAAGCGUUGUCUAGUGGCCUCUGAAAAUUCGGCCUCUGUUUCAUCCGCCCUGCAAUACUGUGUCAUGCUACCUCAUCCAUCCAUCACCAGGACUGUUUUUAUAAGGCUGUUUUUGUCCCAAAAACAGGACAAAAGCAGACUGAUCAUCGCUUUGCUUGUGUCCCCCUACUGUCAUAAAGUUAGCCUCCCAAUCCUCAAGUUCACUGGUGUGUGUAGGUCUCAAGAUUUUCUUUUUCUUUUUUUCAUAUUGUCUGCAUUAAUAUUAUAAGUUUAAGCUAGAAACUAGCAAGGACAAAAUAUUGACAAUGAAAAUGAGAAAGAAUGCAUUUUAUUUUGGUACAGCAUUUUAACAUCUUCCCAAACAAUUUCAUUGAAAAAGGCACAAUUUUCUGACUCAAACCGUGUCAAUGUCGGGAGGUUAGCAUGUAUAUUAUAGCGCACAUCCUAAUUCAGAUUUGCUACUGUGUCUUUUUAUAGCAUUAUUUGACGUUGUAGUAUCGUUUUGUUGUUGUGUGUGGAACGUUUUAUUGCUGUAGGACAAGGUCAAAAAUCCUGUUUAAUAAUCAAGGUGCUUGGGACGGUCAGACAUGGUUGCUAUGUUUGGCUAUUUGACUACAACUGUUGCUGCCUCUUGUGGCCAUGCAAUGUCCAUGCAUCUGUCCGCAGCGCCCUCUGCUGUGCAGUAGGCUUUGUGCCGCAGUAUAACCUUCGGAAGAUCCCGAUAAGAUAUGUGCUUCUGCAGGUUUCUCUCUCUUCUGGGUUUUUACAGCAGAUAUCGAAGACAGUUUUCAAAAAUACAUAGAAAAUACCUUAAACUCUGAAGAAAAAUACUUGUAUAAAAUAUAAGAUAAUUUAAACUCUGAUGGAAUUAUUCCUGCAAAUUUAUCAGAAAACACAUGUAUUGAAAAGGACUUUUCAAACAUGUCAGCCUGUGAUGUAAACAAAGAGCAUCCAACAAGUCUCACCAGCAGAACAGUCCAGAUAUUAAAAAAAAAAAAGAAAGUCACUGCGUGAACUAAACAUCCCAGUGGAGCCUUGUCGACUUCAGCCAGCGAACUGGACGUCGGUGCCGAUCAGUAUGUAGUCCUGCACACAGACAUGACUGUUGUGAGUUUGUUCGUCUAUUUAGAUGUUUGUUUUGACAAAAGUCUGUUCUCUGACCUUCAGAACUCUGAGUUGGGUGUUGACAAGCUGCAUCUUCCCCAGCGCAGGAAGUGGGUAUCCCUCUGCAAACUUGACUGUAAGAGGAGAACAAACAGCUUGAGGAUGGGCAUCACGUGAGGUUUUUCAACCUGAUUCCAAAACGACAUGUUCUAACACAGCAGCUGCAGCUGAGACCUCCUGUCUCUUGGUGACCACGCGAGCAGCUGGAGUUAUGGAUCACAUGCUGUAUUCAUGUGUUCGGAUUGUUCAACUCACCAUUCAGCUUGGGUAUCACCACCCACCUCAGCACCAUAGACAGGAUGCUGUUGAGGGAUCGGACCUGUGAGGAACGACACCAGACAGGCUCUGUUGGUUCAUGCAUCCGACUUGAAAUGGACCUUCAGUCAUGAGUUCGACUCACCUGGAAGUCUCCCACAUAGCUGGUUUGGAGUGUCAAGGUCAUUCUGUGCAAACAAGGUCAAGUGAGAAACAUUUUGAAACACAUGGUGCUUUAUGAGUUUCUGUAAACUCACUGGUUGAGGAUGACUUUUCCGGCCAGCUUCAUCCCAUUAAUGGACACGUUGCCGCUGACGCUGGCAUCCUGCAGAGAGAUGGUGACAUCACAAACAUGGCUUCACACACACGAGCACCCAACCACAUAUAGACACGCCCUCUUUCAGGAGGUUUGGGACAUUAAUAAUGACCUCCAUUAUCACCCCCUUUCUCCAUGAAACACAGUACAAGAGAGAAAGAGAUGGGAGCUCAUAUAGAAUGUCUGAAACCAAAAUUGAGCACAUUUUAAAUGUACUAUACUUGUCAUUUGUUGGUGUUUUUGGCAACUCUCACUGAGGAUCGUGGUGUCUGCUUGUAGCAUUAGCAACUUGACUAACCGGUCCACGUCAUGACGUCCAUUUUGACUCGAUCUCAGUGUGUUGAAUGGCGUUUGUUCUUAUGUUAUUAUAUUUAUUAUAUAGUGUCGAUAGUUCAUAGGUUCUUUGUUAUGUAUUGAUAUAGUUUUCAUUACAGUCUAGAUUGAUUACACAACCAUUUUAACAUCAAUAUUUGAAAAAUAAAUACAGAAUAAAGUUGGAACGAUAGGAGAAAAAAAAAUACUGGAAGCCAUAUUGCCCAGCCCAAUAAAUUCAUACACAUUUGGCUUCAUAGAAGUACAUUUACAAACACAUAAGCACACACACAUACCAAAAAAUUGGAUUGCACUGAGACUCUGCACUUUGUUUUUUCUCACACAUAUAGCAGAAGAUGCCACAAACUUCCGCAACAGUACCUCAAACUAGCAAACACCCACUCAGUCAAACAAAGAAACCAUGGUUCUCUACCAUGUUCAAGAUGAAGAGGGGCGACAGCGUGCCGUUGCUCUGCACUGCGUAAGCCGUCACGGACGCUACUGUCUGAACCGUGGCGUUGUUGUUGUCCAGAAUGAUGUUGGGUGUUUGUUCGUUCUUCACCAAAAGUUUGAUCAUCAUGUUUGGGUACUGUUUGGCAACCUGCAACAGAAGCACCAAACUUCUUGUUCAACGCUCAGAAGCGUCAAAUGAGGAGAGAAAGACUACUACCUCUGGAAUGAAUGUUCCAAAAGUCCGAGUGUUCAGGCGGAAAGGAGAAGCCUGUGGGAUCUGUUGGAAGACAGUUGAACAGUUAUCCUGGUGUCGGAGACAUCCACCUGCAGCUAGUGGCAAAUCUCAGCGGCUCACCAUGUCGUCUGUGAUGUAGAGGCUGAGCGCGCCUGCGGUGUUGUACACGAACCCGGCGCUGUUGCUGGUGAAGGCAGAGAUGCCGAUGUACAACAUGUUGUCGUGUUGAGGAGGCAGAGAGAAGGCCACCGGGGAGAAGGGCGGCUCCUGGUGCCUCCCGAUGUUGUAAAACUCUCCCUGAACAAUGAGGACAGUGGAUCAACAUGGCUGCAUUCUCUCAUGAGUAGCAGAGUAGUUCACCUUCAGGUUGAAGCUGAUGGCAGAGCUAGAGACAGGGGGCGCUGACACCAGGGAGUAUUCAAUCUCUGCAAACUGAUCCACCUUGGCGAUGACUGCAGGAGAUUAUAAGCCAUUAAUAUUUUUUCCUAACACCGAGUGACAAAGUCAGUACCGUUGAGUGUUUUGAGCUGAGGGUUCAGGUCUGACACCGCAUCCGCCACCAGAGGGCACAUCUGAAACACAACACAAUGGUUUGCUGUUGAAAUGAAGGAUAUUGAGUAAAUAUCUGAAUUGAUUGAUUACACUUUGCUUCAUAUUAAUGGAAUAAUAAUUUGGUUUUCUGGGCCUGUCAUGUCACUGUGGUCACUCAGACCCCAGUUAUGUUUUUGAAUGGACUGUCAAUAGAUUGAAACUGUUCAUCUCAGUUAAUAAAAAAAAAACCUCUUGAAUAAUAAAAAUAAAAUUAAUCACACAUGUUGCAUCUGUUUUAAAUGUAACACGAGAGUGGCCAUUAAUAUUCUGCUUUUAGCAUGUUUUUUUUUUUUUUUUCAACCUUUUCAGAGCCUGUGAGCUUAUUCUAAAGAAUGUUCCUGACCAGCAUCUGUUGGUUUGUUUCAGUAAGCAAAGCAUUACUGGCCACUCCUGUGUUGCUCAUGUCAUCCUUAAAGUUACAUUUAGAACAGAUAAAAAUGAUGCGCUUAAUUUGCCGUUAAUCGCGAAUUAACUUGCGAUUAAUUGAGAUUAAAAAUGUUGAAAUGGACAGCACUAGUUUUUGACAGAAAAAAAAUAGAAACUUUUAACCUACCCUUGUAGAGACUUCACUGAUAAUAAUAAUAAUAAUAAUAAUAAUAAUAAUAAUAAUAAUAAUAAUAAUAAUAAUAAUAAUGUGUAACUGUGAUGCCUUAUUGGGUGUUCUGUCUGAAGCCAUUUCAAUUUGUCCAGUUUGUAUUCAACAGCACUUCAACAACGGAAGGUUCUAGCAUGGAAACUGGUGGUGAAACGUUUUCACAAUGCCUCUGUCAGAUGAUGCUCAAAAAUGUAAAUAAUAUAUAGUAAAACAAUGUAUUAUGUAUAUGUAUGUAUGUAAAUGUAUAAAAAAAUAAAU